AGGGCUGACAGGGGCGGAAGGGGCGGGAGGCGGCGGCGGUCGGGAGGGAGCGCGGCGGCCCCUGAGGGCGGCCGGGCCGGCAGCAGGACACGUCUCCGUGGCAGCGGCCUGCGUUGCCUUCGCGUGUUGUGAGGUAGAAAUGGCCGCAGAAGAGAAGUGGAAAAGUUGGACUUCGAAGCAGCAUAGCGGGGCUGAGCAGGCAAGCGAAAAGGACUCAUGUGUGCUUCUGAGCCGGCAGCUGGGGGAACCUGGAAGAUUCGCCUAUGCAGCGCUUUGUGGGAUAUCCUUAGCAGGGCUGUUCCCCGAAGAAGAGCAAAGCUCCUUCAGAACAGAAUUCAUAGAUGGUUUGGUGAAAUGGCUGGACCUGCCUGAUGCUGUCUUACCUGCCAUGACAGCAUUUGCCAGUGGCUUAGGAGGUGAGGGCACAGAAACUUUUGCCCAGCUUUUGCUGAAGGAUCCCAUCUUGAAAGAUAAUCCUGUUGUCAUUAUCCAAGAUCUUUUGUCCUUCUCUCUUAAAGAUGGGUACUAUGAUGCUCGAGCAAGAGUGUUGAUCUGCCGCAUUAUCUGGCUGCUGAGAAUCCCCCUGGAGGAGCUGGAGGCCCUGGAGGAAUCACUGCUUGAGAGCCUGAAGGAACAAAAAGAGGAAGAGUCAGAAAGUGCAGAAGUUUCAAGAAAAAAGAAGGAAAGAAGAAGGAAGCUGAAGAGAUACCUGCUCAUCGGCUUGGCAACCGUUGGGGGUGGAACAGUGAUCGGCUUGACAGGGGGUCUUGCUGCCCCUCUGGUUGCUGCUGGAGCUGCUACUGUUAUUGGAAGUGCAGGGGCAGCUGCUUUAGGUUCAACUGCUGGAAUUGCUGUCAUGGCAUCCCUUUUUGGAGCUGCUGGAGCUGGCCUUACUGGAUACAAGAUGAAGAAGCGUGUGGGCGCCAUAGAAGAAUUUGAAUUCCUCCCACUUACUGAAGGAAAGCAGCUUCACAUCACCAUAGCAAUUACUGGGUGGCUGUGCGCUGGCAAAUACGGGAGCUUCACAGCACCAUGGAGCAGCCUGCUGCAGUCGAGUGAGCAGUACUGUCUGGCCUGGGAAUCCAAGUACCUGAUGGAGCUUGGCAACACCUUAGAUUACCUGCUGAAUGGGUUUGUUAACAUGAUGGCACAAGAAGCCCUAAAACUUACUGUCUUGUCAGGUAUUGUCACGGCCUUGACUUGGCCAACAUCGCUCUUGACUGUUGCCAGUGUCAUCGACAACCCCUGGGGAGUGUGCCUCCAUCGGUCUGCUGAAGUAGGCAAACACCUAGCACAUAUACUGCUCAGCCGGCAGCAGGGCAAGAGACCUGUCACACUGAUUGGCUUUAGUCUGGGUGCCAGAGUCAUUUAUUUCUGUCUGCAGGAGAUGGCUCAAGAAAAAGACUCGCAGGGGAUCAUUGAAGAUGUGGUCUUACUGGGAGCUCCAGUGGAAGGUGAAGCCAAGUACUGGAAAGCUCUCACAAAAGUGGUGUCGGGCAGGAUCAUAAAUGGUUACUGCAGGGGGGACUGGCUGCUGGGCUUCGUGUACAGAACCUCCUCCGUCCAGCUCAAUGUUGCUGGCCUCCAGCCAGUUGACUUAGAUGACAGGAGGAUGGUAAACAUGGACCUCUCGUCUGUCGUCAAGGGCCACCUAGACUACAUGAAGCAAAUGGACACGAUCCUGAAAGCUGUGGGCAUUAAAACCAAGGAGUGUCGGCUGGAGGAGAAGGCCAGUGCCGGACUUUUCCCCCCUCCAGCCAAGAAAUCGCAGCAGGAAGCAGGUGGUGAGACUUGGGAAGAGGAAAACACUGUGCAAGAGGAGGAUGGAGCUGGCAGUGGCCACUGGUCCUGGGCACCCACAGCCAGCAGCAGCCUGAAUUCUGGACACCUGAGCUCUGUGCCUGCUGACACGAGCAGAGAUGGGGAGGUGGCAGCGGGCACAGGCACAGACUGAACCUCUAGAGCUGGCACAGACAUCUCUUUCUCUCUCUCUCUUUCUCUCUCUCUCUCUCUCUCUCUCUCUCUCUGUCCCCAAACCGAAUCCCCAGUCCUUCCUCUGCUCCCCACACGCAUUUUGUCCAGCUCCAGCUGCACAGAGGCAUCCCUCGGACCUGUACCCUCCACGACACAUGGAUGCUGUGUGCUCAGCACCAGGUGGGCUCCCCGUGCGGGCUGUGAGCAGCUGCGGGGCUGCUAUGGCUGGAUGAGAGGGACAGCAGAACCCUCAGCGAGCCCACGCGUUAGCUGGCCUGUGUGGAGGCGAAUCGGAGCUCUGUGAUGGGCAGGGAUGCUCAGCCAGCACGAAAAGCACUCUGAAAGCACCGUCCAUUGCUUCCUGAAGGAGUAUCAGCGGAGCUGGCAGAACUGCACCUGCACUUUUCAGACCCUUCUGAGGGCCCAGAGAGUGUCACUGGAUCAAAGCUUUGGGAGCAGCUGCCCACGACAUCUCCCAGAGAUGAGAAAAGGCUGAUGCAUUCUCACCGAUUCCCCCAGUGAUUGAUUUGGAUUUUGGUUUCCAGGUGUGCUGCAGGCUCGGGCUGCCCAGCUCUGCGUGUCUCAGCGUCCGCGCUUCAGCUCUGCUAACCAGGAAGGCGAAAGGCUGAGGGCACCUGGCUUCCUUCCCCGUUCUGCUGCAGGUUAAACCAAGUGCCUUUGUGUAUAAAUACUUGCCCACCUCCAGAUCUGGAAGGCCUCAUUGACUCACGCGAGGGGAAGCAGUGCAAUCGCAGCUUCUGAUUUUGCUUCAUGGAGUCCUCCCUCUCCCUGCUGCUGGUUUCCUACCAACCUCUCCUCUCUCUCCCGAGCUUUCCGCAAUCCUUACCUUCAGGUUCCUCGGGCAGUUGAGGUGCAGCCGCUUCUGGGUGCGGCACGGCGGCAGCGUGACCUGGCAGUGCUUUGGGUAUGGGGCCUGGCUCUUCCUCUUCCCCAGCCCUGCCACCGAGGAGGGCUCAGAGCUUCCAGAUUCCGACGCACGAUGGGCACGUGGCUGGGCUGGGGCUGUUGGAGGCAAGUCCUGGGAUCCCCCAGGUGCCCGCCCGUCACAGUCAGCUCUUCUGGUGUUGGCUGUAGGAAACGGGCACGAUUCCUCUACUGGAUCAGAAGAUUUGUCCACAAGCAAAUGCCUUACCACAAAGAAGUAGCUCGAUGAGAACGGUAUUGCUGCUUCCUAAAAUUUGGCUUGAAGAAGUUCACCAGCUGAAGUUCUGAACAACUUCUGCUUGUGGAGAAAAUGUGUCUGUGAACAGCUUUGUUCCAGAGUGCUGCUGGGUGCUGGCAGCACGCUCCUUUUGUUCAUCUCCUGAAGCCUGCGUCUGCUGAACUGGUUACCUGAGGGACCGGGGAGUCCAUCGUGUGUUUUUCUACUCUGGUUUAACUGGAGUUACAGCCCAUGUAUGUUUUUAUAUAGAACUAUUUGUGGACAGAUGAACACAUUCAUCUUCAUGCCUGAUACCAGGACCAAGCUCAAUAUCUGGCCACAGAUAUAGGGAAAAAAUGUAUUAAACAGUUUGAUACUUGAACCUGUGAUGAGUUGAGGUCAUUUAUCGUUGACCACAGGGCCAGCCAUCGGCUGCAAGUGUGCUUGUAGCAAAUAAAUGUCAAGUUAGUCAUUGAAGCAAGCACUUCUUGUUCAGUUCUGGAGCAUGUGUGGGCAACGUGGAAAGAAAACUGAUGAGACUUUGCCUGUCAUGCAGCUUCUUCUCCUUGCAUCAUGUUCGUUUGUCUGUGUCAUUGGGGGCUUCAGGAACACAACCAAAAUCAUGAGCUCUGAAGCAAGGCUAGUAGGGCAGGAGUUCAGGGAGGGCACAGCAACAAACUACCAACCCGACUCUGCAUCUGAAAGGCACUUGAGGAAGAAUUAGCUGCAAGCAUUCACUGGUGCUUUUGUAAAGUGCCCACUGGCCACACUGCUCGCUAUUCUCCCUGCUUAUGGCUCUGAGGAGGGUUGAGGGGGGUGGCAUUAUUGUUUGGAAGUCAAUAUUCUGAUUUAAGAACAGAAAUGUCUCUUUUCUAAUUGCAUCAUCUUAAAACUCGUGGAUUGUCAAGAGCAAAGUACGACGGUCAUGCCAAAAAUAGGAAGCUGUAGGAUGAGAGCUGAAGGGAAGCUGAUUUCCUUCCUUACUACUGUCAGGAUAUCCAGAGAGCCACAAACAAGUCGAACACCCACACCCUUGUGGAAUAUCCAAAAGGCAGUGCUGAACAUUUUGCAUCAGAUUUAAUCCCCCGUGGUGCAGGCUGUUCAUGAUUAAACCGGAUGGUUUCAGCGUGCUGCAGCUUGCUGCUUUCACAGGAAACUGACAGCUACGGUCCAAAUCGGGCGAGAGAAUUAAACUCCAAGCAGACACGAUGUUCUGUGGACUGAAGCAGCCCCAAACCUGUUGCCCGUGAGUCACAGGAUGUGUUUCCUCUUCCCUUGGUGCACCUCGUGCAUGAGUUAGAGGGGAUGUGCUGAGCUGUACGAGUGGAAGCUGAAGAACCUGCCCUUGGCUGAAGUGCAGGGAGACUGGCAAAAAGGUGCGAGGAUCAGAUCAACGGGCUGUGAAAAGGCCGUGAGAAGCAGCUCGUGGAGAAGGGUGAGGAAUUGGUGAGUAAAAAGACAGAAAGAGGGAGAAACAAGGCAGAUUAAUUCAGCAGUAAAACAUGGCUUUGCGCUCUAAACCUACCUGCAGAAGUGCUCAGCAACAGCACCAAGGAGAUGCGAGUUUCACUGAGGAAGGUAUGGAGGAGCUCAGUGUGGGCAGGGAAAUGCCUUGUGGUUGUCCUCCCGGAGGGUUUGCAUUGUGCCAGGGCAAUUCUACCUGGGACACCAGGCUUUGAAACUGUGCCUCCCCCAUCUGCAGCCCCACAGACGGCCUCUCAGGCCACCGGCGUGCCGAGCUGCCGGUGCUGCAGCUCCUCUUCAUGAGACUCCGUGUCAAAAAUAUUAACCAAGCGGACGUGGGGGGCCAGGAGAGCCUGGGCAGCGUCAGCAGCCGGCGGGAGGCUGUGCUCGUCCACCGCUGCCCCAGAGUCGACGGAGUCGGUGUCAGCCUGCAAGGUGAGGACGUUCUUGAGGGACGUGGCCACGCGGGGCCCGCUGUUGGAGUUCCUCAUGGAGAGGGAGAUGGCGCUGGGCCGGGGCUGCCCCGAGCGCCGGCAGCAGGGCAGGUAUUUGCCCAUGGCUCUCUUGAAGUCCCUCAUGAAGAGCGGGUAGAUGAUGGGGUUCACGGUGCUGUUGCAGUACCCCAACCAGGUGAGCACGUCGAAGAAGCCGGCUGGGACACACUCGCACACUGCCUGGCGGGGAGACACGGCAAGGAUUAGUGGCAUUUCCCAAACCCUGAGCAUUUCCCAGGUCCACCAACAUUUUCCCUUGCUUUUGAAGGGUUUUUCUCCCCCAGGAAACCGCAGCUUUCUGGCGAGACGUGCAGGCAGCUGAGCCUCGAGCCCGGCUGUGAAAUGCUUUUGAAAAACAGCCCUUCCUGGUUAAAAAAAAAAACAACAAAACGCGUGCUUACCUGUGUCAUGUUGGUGAUGAAGAAGGGGAGCCAGGCCACGAAGAACAUGCCCAAGAGGAUGCCCAGCGUCAGACUCGCCUUCAGCGCCUUCUUGCUGUGCUUGCUGGCGAACCUCCUGCUCUCGCUGCCGGCCGGGGGCUGGCUGGGGGCACGGGGAACCUGCAGCGGGACACGGGCGGUGAGAGACUGCUUCACCCCAGGCUGGAGCUGCUGGCACUGGCGCCAGCCUCCUGCCCGAGGGAAGUGGCAUUUGGUGCUGCAAAAACCUGCAAAAAA